rnacentral:rRNA from 1 species
UGGGGAAUUUUGCACAAUGGGGGAAACCCUGAUGCAGCGACGCCGCGUGAUUUAGAAGGCCUUCUGGUUGUAAAAAUCUUUUCUAUGGGAAGAAAAUGACAGUACCAUAGGAAUAAGGACCGGCUAAUUACGUGCCAGCAGCCGCGGUAAUACGUAAGGUCCGAGCGUUGUCCGGAAUCAUAGGGCGUAAAGGGUACGUAGGCGGGUAAGCAAGUUAGAAGUGAAAUCCUAUAGCUCAACUAUAGUAAGCUUUUAAAACUGCUCAUCUUGAGGUAUGGAAGGGAAAGUGGAAUUCCUAGUGUAGCGGUGAAAUGCGCAGAUAUUAGGAGGAAUACCGGUGGCGAAGGCGACUUUCUGGCCAUAACCUGACGCUGAGGUACGAAAGCGUGGGUAGCAAACAGG